rnacentral:precursor_RNA from 14 species
CUUUGGGGUUGCUCACUGCUUGCGUGAUUUUGGGGUCUCACCGGCCACUAUAUGUUGCUGUGCUCUCAUACUGGCCAGCGAAAUCCCAAAGUCACACAAGCAUUAUCGUCUGCUGACAGA